AAGGAUCUGGAUCACAGGUCAUUUCAUCUGAGAUCAUUCCGCGUGUAACAGCUGGAAUCACUCACUGUUUCCCACAACGACACAAGUCAUCAGCCGUUUCCUCAAGGUCACGUCAGAGCGGUGAUGAUGUGGAGAGGCAGAGACCACCACCAUACGCGAAGAUGAGCCUCGAGGCGUGACAGUUAUUUUUUCAAACUGGGGAGUUCAGACUCCGGACCGGCAUUUCUGCUUGUUUGUACCCUGAGGAACCCAAAGGUCCCACACCAACCAUAGUGUUCAACGGCUCUCCUGAUCUUCUCAAAUCUGAAAGUCGGAGAAGCGGACCGCCCCUGUCGCGGAUCACGCUCCUCCUAGUUCCACCUCGAGGAGGUCCCAAAGCACCCCAAUGACCAGACAAACCAGAGAUAAGUAAAAUAUAGAAAUAGAAACUUUAUUUAAAUUAUUUAAAACUAAAGUGGGGAAUGGGAAAGGGAAUCUAAAAAUCUCGCUUCUCGCCCUCAGGGGGAGUAUUACGGGGCCAGGGACGUUGGAGGGGUUUCCACGUGACUCCAGCUGGAACACCACUACAGAGCGUAUCUGGGUGGGUUGGGCACACACCGUCGCGGCGGCCCCUGAUGGCAUCCACAAAGGUCCGAGACCCUCCUAAGCUCCUAGCCGUAGCAGAACUACGUAUUUCAGCACCCGAAGGACUAACAACCCAGCCGGCAUCUGCAGCGUAUAUCCAACGCGAUCAAACUUCACUCUGACAAGUAACUUCCUAUACACAACCACGCCGUCCUUUCGCCCGGACCAGCCCCGCACUCUUUCCGCCCGCUACCUAGCGGUCGCCGGAUCAGCAGAGCCUGCGGACUCUUCGGAGGCUGGUCUUCGUUGUGCUGCCCAAGGCGGAAGUUGACUCGCCCGAAAAUCGACCCUUCCAGUAACUUCUACCUUCUCUCUUUAUAUCCUCCUCCAUGGCGUGGCUCGCCCAACCAUCGCUCGCCACGUCACUUACACAGCUGUGCCUUGUUUCAGCAAGUGCGGGGAUUCCCGGGGAACCCUGAAGUGCCGGUGUCUCUACAAACCGGUCCGGGCGGAACCCCUUCACUCUCCUUUUGGUUCCGCCCCGCAUAGUCACUCCGUGACAACUGUUUGCGUUUUUUUUUCUCCUCAAUGUUCAAUACCCUUUUGCCAUUAAGCACACAGUGACUUUAAUUUAUAAAAUAUAUGCUUAAGUUUUAAUACCUGUACAAAACAAAUGUACAAUCAACUUGUGUAAAUUUUAAUAAAAAUUUAAGCUUUAAUUGCUUGUUCAUGUUAGUUCAGAGUGCAUUAACUAAUGUUAACAAGAUUUUAAUAAAGUAAUUGUUGAAAUUAACAUUAACAAAGAUUAAUAAAGGCUGUAUAAGUGCAGUUCAUUAUUAGUUCAUGUUAACUAAUGUAGCUAACUAAUGUUAACUAAUGAACCUUAUUGUAAAGUGUUACCGUGAUUUCUUUUCAUUAUUUCAGACACAUGUAAAAGUUACUAAAAAUUAGUACUGCAUAUACUGUACAGUAUCUAUGCGUAAGGGAAAUAACUUGAACAAAAUUUUUAAUGUAUAGUGUAAUUAAGAGUUUAGCUGUUUAAUACAGAGAUGCAAUUUAUUUAUAUAUAUUAUUUAUAUAUAAACGUAUGUAUGUUUAUUAAAAAGUGAAAAUGCUUAAUGGAAAUAAUUAAAUAACUAAAUGGUUGAAUGUAAUGAGACAUUUUAAAUGUAAACUAAAGUUUUGCUGUCUAAUACAGAAUAAAGAGAUGUGAUUUUAAGUAA